rnacentral:rRNA from 1 species
GACGGGGGAUGCAAGUGUUAUCCGGAAUCACUGGGCGUAAAGCGUCUGCAGGUGGUUUCCUAAGUCCACUGUUAAACCUUGAGGCUCAACCUCAAAUCUGCAUUGGAAACUAGGAGACUUGAGUAUAGUAGGGGUAGAGGGAAUUUCCAGUGGAGCGGUGAAAUGCGUAGAUAUCAGGAGGAACACCGGUGGCGAAGGCGGGUCUCUGGGCCGAUACUGACGCUGAGGAGCGAAAGCAUGGGGAGCGAACAGG